rnacentral:lncRNA from 1 species
GGGAUUACGUAUCAUGACUAUACUACGGGAACCGUACCCAUAGUCAUGAUGAUUAUUAUUAAUCGCGCCUAAAGUAAUCUACAAUAUUCAUGAGUUAUUUUCGUAAACUACUUUGAGAUUUGUUGUACAUUUAAACCAUAUAUAGCCCAACUAGCAAAAUACUACCAGAAAUAGUUGAAUUACACCAUAACAGGAGCAUAAAUUCAACAUUCAAUCAAUGAGGGAAGCUAGGUGAUUCAAUUAUACAACUCAAACAUAAAUACAUGGGAUUAUGUGUGCACCUAGUGUUCAAAACAAGCUGAAAAGACCAACUAAAGGCUAUCAAAUGAAGUGUUGGAGCUCAACAGUGGAAUAGCAGCAACGACAGCAACAAAAUAGAUCGAAUCAAACUUUGCACACCCAGAAAUGAUGGAUGAAAUAUCUUAGAACAACGAGAAGCAUAGGCUGCUUCAUAACUGUUUGUCUUUUGAAAGAAAAACUCUAUAAUUGCUCACAAUUUCUCAGCUGCCCUCUAUGGUUUUCUUUUCCAAUCCUUGCGUCACUUAGCCCAGAUCCAUCCUUUAACUAAUUAGUGAACACAUCUAAUGACUUAAAGAGGCAAGAUACAGAACACAUAUUUUGCAAAAUCCAUUUGUAGCUCAUGAACUCAAUUAACAAUAAGGAGGAUUUCAGAUUAGAUUUAUGUCAAGCACAUGAAACUAUCAAUUAAUGCUAACAGUGAUUCAAAUCACAAACCAUUCACGCAGGCUACUAGAUCGAUGUCUCAACUACUAAAAUUAAGAUUACAAACCAAGCAUGUCAUAAAUGACCAAUUCUUAAACUCUGCCCUUUAUAUUGACGCUUUUAGACAUGAACUUCAGUUGGUUCCACAAGUGUUUCUAAAAUUUAAUUAACCAAAACAGUUUGAACAUUAAUCAGAUCUGCAAAAAUGUGACUUCUAACACAACUGAUUUCAAAAUAUAAAAAAAAACUAUUUAAUCACUAAUUAGCAUAUCCCGAUAGGAAUCCGAUAUAUUCACAACAAGCAGAUGGAAUAUAGUGACUGAAUCAUCUUAGAUUCAAAGUGAAAUGUAACAUUAACGCUCAUUCAAUAACAAACACUUACGGAUCUCAAUUCGAGCUCAAAGCAUAUACAUUCUUAUAAUUUCAUGACAUCAAAAGUCAAAUAGAAGCAUAAUUUCAGGAAGGAAAUUACUUACCUCAACAACAGCGGACAAAAUAAAGUUGUUUGAAGCAAGAACAAAAAGCAAACUAGAUCGAAAGCCGAAUAAAUACGAGGUUCUUCAAAUUGGAGCCUAGCUUCAGCGAAAAUCGGCAACUUAGACUUUGAACAGCACUGAUAGGAAUCCAGAAAAAGUCUUUAAGCCUUAACGUUUCUAACAAUCCAUUAGAAUUCAAAUCUUCAUCAAACAUUCAUCUUCCCUUUUUAGACCCUUUAUUUUCGGAUUCGAUUUUUUUGAAAUUUGAAGAAUCUCUCUUCUCUUUUAGAUCUAUGUAUGAGUGAAAUGAGGGUGAGAUUGAACGUCUUGAGUGAGAAAAUGCGUUGUUGGAGUUGAUGGAGGAGCUGCUAGGGUUUUUUGUUUUUUUUUUUAAAUUGAGGGGUCGUCCGCCUCUGGUGUUUUCAGAACCUCAGAUGGCGGCUAGGAGGAUGAAGAUGGAGAAGGGGAAGGCUAGGGUUUUUUU